ensembl:lncRNA PWRN1 Prader-Willi region non-protein coding RNA 1
UACAGACUCUAUCAGGAAUCACUUGGGACUGUGCAUUCUGUUGACACUCACUUUGUGGAAUUAAGUUGCCCACUGCCAACCCUAAAGCCACCAAGGUAGCAGAUGAGGUCUUGUUCUUUUGGCCAGGCUGGAGUGCAGUGGUACAGUCGUGACUCACUGCAGCUUCAAACACCUGGGUUCCAGCAUUCAUCCCACUUCAGCCUCCCGUGUAGCCGGGACUACAGUUUUCAAUAUACAUAUGGUAUGAAAUAAUUUCCUAUUGAAGUCAUCUUAACAUGGAACCAGAAUUAAAUCCUAACAACAAUCAUGUGAGCCUGGGGAGGAUCCUUCCCCACGUGAGCCUUCAGGGGAGACUUCAGCCUUGGCCAUCUUCUACAUCUAGAUUCCUGACCAAGAGAAGCUGUUUAGAAUAGUUCACCAGUGAAGUCAUCUCAACCAGCACAGGGCCUUGACUCCUAACAACAAUCACACGAACUUGGAAGAGGAGCCUUCCCCAACUGAACCUUCGCUUGAGACCUCGUCCUUGGCCAUCCUCUACAUCUGGAUUCAUGAUACAGAGAAACUUGAGUAAUGAUGACACUAGCAGUCCAGCCUGCAUGGAUGCUGACAUGGAUGCUGUCUCCCAUUCUUACCACUGGAUGGGAAGAAAUGCUAGAUGCAAUCCAGCCAGUCUGUACUCGACUGUCAGUUCCAUCUUCUCAACUCACAGUGUCUUCCAAAGUCCGUGCCACACCACAGCCUGGAACAUCUCCCAAGGUUUCAAAUAAUUCAUCAGUGAAUUCUUCUCAACCUGGUCAAUCAUGUGAACUUAGAAGAUGAUUCCUCCCCAGCUGAUCCUCAGGUGAGACAUCAGCCUUGGCCAUCAUCUACAUCUGGAUUCCUGACCCAGAGAAACUGGAACACUAAGACCCAUUCUUCUUCUCAAGUAUCCAAAAAUAAAGUUGAUCCAAGUAAGAAGUGGACAGCAUAAAAGAUUGUAUGGAAGCUAUAAUGCAUCUACAUCUGCAGUAACUAAUCAUAAAAUGAUUUGUAUGAUCAUUCUUCACAUGAUUAGAAUUACUAUGGGAAAGAAGAAAAAGAAAUGCCUCUCUGGAUGGUGACUAUAACCUAUAGCCUUGCCCAAUAUGACUCAGGAUUUGGUACUGGCUGUGCCUUUCAUGGGAUGCUUACUUAUCCUGGUCGAUGGCCUAAAGCCCAACCGUCCAGCUUAUAUCCAGAUCCUUUGGCAUUUGAGAGUUGCUUUGUGUAUACGGUCCUUUAACGGAGCAAAUGGCCAGCCAGGAAACCAAAGUAUGGACAAGGGGAAAGAAGCGUCUGUGGAGGAAGUUUUACAAGCGCCCUCCUCAUCCAUUUGGGUGGUGUUGCCCAUAUGCUACAUGUCUGUGGACCACUAUGUGUGUUUAAAGCUUUUUAGUAAAACGUUACUAAAAACUAUGACUCACUGUGGUGAAAAAGGUGGCAAAACAGUGACAACAAAAACAUCUUGAAUAUGGAUGUCUUCUUAGGAUGCACUUUACAAACAUCUGUGGGGGAAUCUCACCUAUGACAAAGGCUGUAUUAAGAUUGGAGGCAAAAUUAGAAGCAACACGGAGAUGCAUUGACACCCUUCUUCAAUCCAGAGGAUGGGCCAUCAACUCACAAAAGUACAAGGCCUGGAACCAGCUGCAAAGUUCCUAUGGAUCACUUGGCCAGGU